UUGGAGGGCAAGUCUGGUGCCAGCAGCCGCGGUAAUUCCAGCUCCAAUAGCGUAUAUUAAAGUUGUUGCAGUUAAAAAGCUCGUAGUUGAAUUUCGGGAUUCGUCCAUUGGUCAGGCUUAACUGUCUGUACUGGUGUGUCGGAUUUCUACCUUCUGAAGAACCUUUAUGCCAUUAAUUUGGUGUGUUGGGGAAUCAGGACUGUUACUUUGAAAAAAUUAGAGUGUUUAAAGCAGGCUAACGUCUGAAUACAUUAGCAUGGAAUAAUGAAAUAGGACGGUACGGUUCUAUUUUGUUGGUUUCUAGGAUCGCCGUAAUGAUUAAUAGGGAUAGUUGGGGGCAUUAGUAUUCAAUUGUCAGAGGUGUAAUUCUUGGAUUUAUUGAAGACUAACUACUGCGAAAGCAUUUGCCAAGGAUGUUUUCAUUAAUCAAGAACGAAAGUUAGGGGAUCGAAGACGAUCAGAUACCGUCGUAGUCUUAACCAUAAACUAUGCCGACUAGGGAUUGGACGAUGUUAAUUUUUUAAUGACUCGUUCAGCACCUUACGGGAAACCAAAGUGUUUGGGUUC
rnacentral:rRNA from 1 species